CCGGAGCCAUUGUGGCUCCGGCCGAUUGCGCCGGCCCUCGGGCCCUCAGGGAGGCGAGGGUGUGAGGGUACAGAGUUCGAGGCCAACUUGGUCCACAUUGGUAGGAAAAAAAAAAUUUUUUUU